GAAGACGCUGUCUCAGGCCAAAGGAAGACAGGAUGAAUUCGUGACAGGGAAGAAAGUGCCAGCGGAUGAUGUCCAGCUGCCUGUCACAUGGGGUUAUCUUAUGAUUUAGCCAAGGUUAGUCUACUCCAGGCAAGAGUGGAGUUUUAUCAUCCAAACUCUUCUGUGACACAGCGUUCGGCAAAGAUCAUCUAUCUUGAUGAUACCCUACGGCACAUACCAACUGUUAGGAGGAUGACUUCAGCCACAGGAUGAAACAAAUGAUGAGAGACUAGAGUCCAGAAGAUCAGCCAGAGGGCAAGUAUCAUGAUCCAGAUGAAAACUGAUGAGGACCUGGCCUAAAACAGUGAUAAUGAUGAUAGAGAGGAGAGAUCACCAAACAUGUGAUCUUCAGUAGGAGUGUGUGUGUAUGUGUGUGUGUGUGUGUGUGUGUGAGAGAGAGAGAGAGAGAGAGAGAGGUUAUUCCCAGGUUUGUAGCUAGCCAGUCUAAGUAGAUAGAACUGUUAGUAGAGACAAUGAAAUGGGAUAUCAAGCAUGAUACUGAGUUCACUUUAGGACAUGUCAAGUCAGAGGUCCUUAAGGGAUUCUGGAAAGAUGUCUAAUGGGUGGUUUAAAUAAAAAUCUUAAGCUCAGAAGAGCUUAAAGAUACGGAUUUUGCAGUAGCCUUAAUUUCUCAAUCUGUAGCCCUUUCUACAACAGCUGACCUUAAAAAAUAGCCCUUCCUUUAAAGACAAAUUAAUGUAACAGCUUAACAUUUAUAAUUAUUUAUAAUGAAAAUGAGAAAAUGAUUAAGAAUCAACUACUGCAUUGUAUAAUGGUAAUGGCAUUACAUCAUUACCAAACAAUGUUAGAAUUUUAAGUGGAUAUUUAGGCUAGUUUUACACUCUAAUGACCUCUUUAAAAGUAUAUCAUUCUUUUCUGGUUUUGCAUGUUUACUAUUUUGUUAUUCCUCAAGGGUUCUCUAGACUGCAGUAUAUUGUAAGAUAAUCUGUCUUUCUUGCGUCACCUAAAACCUUGUGCAAACGGGUCAUUUAUUUUCUUUCAUUGUGCUACAGAAAUAAUGAUUUUUCUGAUCCUGCCUUUCCUUCUUUUUUCUUGA